GGCGGGAAAAUGUGUCCCGGAAAUACCACCGAAUCCAAAUCUUGUUAUCCCGCCUAUUGUAGUGUUGAUGGUGGGUGGAGCGUAUGGCAGACGUGGGGCCGUUGCAGUGUGACUUGUGGAAACGGAGUACGGAAUCGAGCCCGCUCUUGUAAUAACCCUGUACCCCAAUAUGGAGGGAACCAGUGUACCGGGGAUGCCACGGAGAUUCAUUUUUGCCAUGAAAGAUCUUGUCCCGUUGACGGUGCGUGGUCCAUUUGGUCGGGUUGGGGGUCGUGCUCUCGCACUUGUGGAGAUGGGACGAGAAUCCGCUCUCGUUCAUGCACCAAUCCGGCCCCUCUGCAUGGGGGACACUAUUGCUAUGGACAUUACCAGGAAUCUAUGCCUUGUUAUUUGACGUCUUGUCCCGUGGAUGGGCAUUGGGCAAAUUGGAUGGCUUGGACAUCUUGCUCAAGCACGUGCGGAUACGGUGUAAAAACAAGAGCACACACGUGCACAAACCCAGCUCCCUCACAUGGCGGGAAGGACUGUUCAGGAUCGUCGUACGAGUCCCACUCUUGUCAAAUGACGGCCUGUUCGGUGGAUGGCCAAUGGGCUGAUUGGAUGGCCUGGACUUCUUGCUCAAGCACGUGUGGAGACAGUGUAAGAACAAGAGCACGCACGUGCACAAACCCAGCUCCCUCACAGGGCGGGCAGGACUGUGCCGGAUCCUCGCAAGAGUCCCACUCGUGUCAUAUGGCGCCCUGUUCAGUUGACGGUGGGUGGUCCGCCUGGAUAGCCUGGUCUCCCUGUUCUUCGUCAUGUGGAAACGGCCAGAAAACACGCGCUCGCUCCUGUGUCAAUCCAGCGCCCUCUGCCGGAGGAAAAGACUGUGUGGGAAGUAUCUAUGAAAUGCAGCCAUGUUUUGGGACCGCGUGUUCCGUGGACGGUGGUUGGGGAGCAUGGGCGACUUGGAGUCAUUGUAGUAAGACCUGUGGAUCUGGAGUUGAAUCCCGAGCCCGAAGCUGUGAUAGCCCCACUCCGUCUGGUGGAGGACAGCCGUGUCCUGGAGAUACGACCGAAACGAGGACCUGCAAUUUAGGCAUAUGUGCCAUCGAUGGUCACUGGUCCGAUUGGAUGCGUUGGUCUCCAUGUUCUAGUACCUGUGGAAGCGGAAUGAAAACACGUGCACGUAUGUGUACGAAUCCGGCGCCAUCGCAGGGUGGAAAAGAUUGUGUGGGAAGUCCAUAUGAAAUGCAGCAGUGCUUUGAGAUUAUAUGUCCUGUUGAUGGAAAUUGGGGCGAUUGGUCAUCAUGGUCCCAAUGCUCGGCGUCAUGUGGGGGUGGAAACGAGGUCAGAUCACGUAACUGUAGUAACCCGGCGCCCUCCCAUGGAGGAAAACCCUGUGCUGGAGAUCCAACACAGUCACAGACAUGCGCAAACACAACAUGUCCUGUUGGCCCCGAGUGUCCAUCUUGCGAUGAGAAUUUGAACUGUCAGUGGGGAUCUGUGUGUGAUGUAUCUGAAACCUGUAUGAUUAGAUCAUUUCCCCAUUCGCCAUUCACUGUGCAUUGCUCAAAGAUACAAGACUGUGAGUUUGAAAAGUCUAAGUUACCAAAGGGCGAGAUAUUUUGCUGCUAUGACCGUUCGUGCCUUACGACUUAUUUGGGACUUACGCCGUAACAACUUCCUACGAUCUCUAAUAAAACGUUUUUAAAAAGAAUCCAUACUCAAGAAUUUAUUUUUGUUUCAUAAUUUCAAUGUAGUUAUUUAUUCUUUAAUUUCGAAAUAAAGUUAUUU
rnacentral:misc_RNA from 1 species